rnacentral:rRNA from 1 species
AGAGUUUGAUCCUGGCUCAGAACGAACGUUGGCGGCGUGGAUUAGGCAUGCAAGUCGAACGAAUCCCAGUCUUGUAGCAAUACCGGGCUGGGGGAAGUGGCGAAAGGGGCAGUAAGGCGUGGGUAACCUACCCCGGGGACUGGGAUAGCCUUCCUAACGGAUGGGUAAUACCAGGCGAUCUGACGAGGGGGCAUCUCCUUGUCAGGAAAUGAAUUUCGCCUCGGGAGGGGCUCACGUGAUAUUAGCUAGUUGGUGAGGUAACGGCUCACCAAGGCAAAGAUGUCUAGCGGGUGUGAGAGCACGACCCGCGCCACUGGCACUGAGACACUGGCCAGACACCUACGGGUGGCUGCAGUCGAGGAUCUUCGGCAAUGGGCGCAAGCCUGACCGAGCGACGCCGCGUGUGCGAUGAAGGCCUUCGGGUUGUAAAGCACUGUCGAGGGGGAGGAAAGCCGCAAGGUCUGACCUAUCCCUGAGAGAC